AGUUCCUCUCCAAACAAAGUUUUUGUUUGGAGGCUCUUGACAGCUCCAUAUUCAAAUAUGGGCAGUUGAAAUGCAAAACCUUUGCAACAGUUGUUGUUUGGGCACAGGUUCUUUUGACAAACUCGAAAGAUACAAGUGUCCAAACAUUCGACAAAUUUAA
rnacentral:misc_RNA from 1 species